UGGGACUGGAAGUUCAACAUCCCAAAUUCCUGCCUAUGCACCGACAAGUCCACUAAUCCAUGUGUGGCGGCUCCUAGAAACAGCAGCCUCUUUAACAGCCAGAUGGGUGACGAGCCUAUUAUGAUUUAUGAAAAGGGAUGCCUUCCAUACUUCA